rnacentral:rRNA from 1 species
GAUGAACGCUGGCGGCGUGCCUAAUACAUGCAAGUCGAGCGAACGGACGAGAAGCUUGCUUCUCUGAUGUUAGCGGCGGACGGGUGAGUAACGCGUGGAUAACCUACCUAUAAGACUGGGAUAACUUCGGGAAACCGUAGCUAAUACCGGAUAAUAUUUUGAACCGCAUGGUUCAAAAGUGAAAGACGGUCUUGCUGUCACUUAUAGAUGGAUCCGCGCUGCAUUAGCUAGUUGGUAAGGUAACGGCUUACCAAGGCAACGAUGCAUAGCCGACCUGAGAGGGUGAUCGGCCACACUGGAACUGAGACACGGUCCAGACUCCUACGGGAGGCAGCAGUAGGGAAUCUUCCGCAACGGGCGAAAGCCUGACGGGGCAACGCCGCGUGAGUGAUGAAGGUCUUCGGAUCGUAAAACUCUGUUAUUAGGGAAGAACAUAUGUGUAAGUAACUGUGCACAUCUUGACGGUACCUAAUCAGAAAGCCACGGCUAACUACGUG